CAGGGAGACAACAAAAUGUUAAAUAUUAAUUUUGUCACCUUAGGUCGAUCGGUAUCUCACAUUCUUAAUUUAUUUAAGGAUUUUAUUUCCUAAGUUUUCUCUAGGUCACACCCAUAAUUUUUCCUGGGCCAUUAGCUCAGGUGGUUAGAGCGCACCCCUGAUAAGGGUGAGGUCCCUGGUUCAAGUCCAGGAUGGCCCAUAUCUCUAUGUUGGGGGUAUAGCUCAGUUGGUAGAGCGCCUGCUUUGCAAGCAGGAUGUCAGCGGUUCGAGUCCGCUUACCUCCACUGAUUACCACCUCUUCCAUAAAUUUAUUGAAGGGAAAUUUUUUAGGUGUGAUCAAAUUCUGAACGAAUCUAGCUUCCUAAUUAAACUUAUUAAGAUGCUGGACUCAUUGAAUUAUUUUCAUUGUUUUCAGAGAACCUUGACAACUGCAUAGAUUAUUUUUAAAGACAAUAAGCAUCUUUAAUGAUGCAGAUUUAUUAUUUGUGCAAAUGCAUUAAUAACAAUUCUAUUAAGCUGAUGCUUCAAUAUUUGAAGUUAUU
rnacentral:tRNA from 1 species